rnacentral:tRNA from 1 species
GCCGAGGUGGCGGAAUCGGUAGACGCGCAUGAUUCAGGAUCAUGUGAGGAUAACCUCAUGGGGGUUCAAAUCCCCCCCUCGGCACCA